UGGGGAAUAUUGGACAAUGGGCGCAAGCCUGAUCCAGCAAUGCCGCGUGUGUGAAGAAGGCCUUCGGGUUGUAAAGCACUUUUAUCAGGAGCGAAACGCUGUCGGCUAAUACCCGGCGGAACUGACGGUACCUGAGGAAUAAGCACCGGCUAACUUCGUGCCAGCAGCCGCGGUAAUACGAAGGGUGCAAGCGUUAAUCGGAAUUACUGGGCGUAAAGCGUGCGUAGGCGGUGACUUAAGUCUGCUGUGAAAUCCCCGGGCUCAACCUGGGAAUGGCAGUGGAUACUGGGUCGCUAGAGUGUGAUAGAGGAUGGUGGAAUUCCCGGUGUAGCGGUGAAAUGCGUAGAGAUCGGGAGGAACAUCAGUGGCGAAGGCGGCCAUCUGGAUCAACACUGACGCUGAGGCACGAAAGCGUGGGGAGCAAAC
rnacentral:rRNA from 1 species